rnacentral:rRNA from 1 species
AUUGAACGCUGGCGGCAUGCCUUACACAUGCAAGUCGAACGGUAACAGGUCUUCGGAUGCUGACGAGUGGCGAACGGGUGAGUAAUACAUCGGAACGUGCCUAGUAGUGGGGGAUAACUACUCGAAAGAGUGGCUAAUACCGCAUGAGAUCUACGGAUGAAAGCAGGGGAUAGCAAGACCUUGUGCUACUAGAGCGGCCGAUGGGAGAUUAGGUAGUUGGUGGGAGAAAAGCUUACCAAGCCGACGAGCUGUAGUUGGUCUGAGAGGACGAUCAGCCACACUGGGACUGAGACACGGCCCAGACUCCUACGGGAGGAAGCAGUGGGGAAUUUUGGACAAUGGGCGAAAGCCUGAUCCAGCAAUGCCGCGUGCAGGAUGAAGGCCUUCGGGUUGUAAACUGCUCUUGUACGGAACGAAAAGCCCCGGGUUAAUACCCUGGGGUCAUGACGGUACCGUAAGAAUAAGCACCGGCUAACUACGUGCCAGCCGCCGCGGUAA